CACGGAAGGAGUGCGGGUCAGUAUCGUACAAUGAUAGAAUGGGGAGACCAUUUCUUACGAUUCUUUCGGCAAAAAGGCAUGUGUACAUGCCACAAUCGACUUCUGUGGAACCCUGUUGUUGACAUUCCUUAUGAAUUAUGACGUCAGGAGCGCCGACGGGGAUUUGGAGGAUGUGCUCAAAAUAGGAUGGAAACAAUUUCGCCUUUCCAAGACAAAAAAAGGUAAAUUAAUUAAAACGAGUGGAUAGUAGAUGUUACUACCGAGUGAAUAAAUAACUAAAACACUCUGUCUACUGAGAAGAAUAAAUUAAUACCAGCAACUGUGCCGCGUCCUGUGCCCCACUGUGGCUCCACAAAGAGUUCCAACUCUCAAAACGCUGUUCUUUCAAAACAAUUGCUAGUAAAUGCGAAUGCCAAUUACUAUGUAAAGGAAUAAGUACAUAUCUAGAAGUGCUACAGGUAUGUGUAUUUAUUUUAUCCAGAAAGUGACGUAUAGAUGCGGAUCCAAAUGCCACAUCCUUUAGAAAAUCAGCUGUUACUGGCUUAUCCUUUCCAUAUCUCUGCAUCUUAUUGAGUACGUGCAUCUGCAUAGAAACAGAAAUCAAGAUAGCAAGAUGCCUUACGAAACUUUGCGGGAAACUCAAAUGCUAUUAUUUGGACGGUUCAUAUGUUCACAGAUUAUGGAACAGGAGCUAAUCAAUAUUAUUAAACAAAUUGAGAAUCGGACUUCAACACAUAUAUUUUCUUCCAUUGUAACUCACUUUUAUAUUUCUUUAAGUUUGCUUGGUACAGAAAUAGAUAACAAGAGAGAAAUAGAUAACGACUAAUCUAAUAGUGAAGGCAUCAAACUCACCACAACUUCAGUUCGCAAGAAAAUACCUGGUUGACUAAAUUUUUGUUCACCCAUGCAGUCGAGCUUAUCAAUUAUAUGGAAAUAUACAUUAAUCACCUAAAUAAAAAAAUCAGCAAAACAAAGAGAAUUAGAAUAAUAUAUAUAUAAUUAGAUAUGUAUAUAACAAGCUACAAGCGCUAACUACAAUGCAUAAUCUGUGGCAGCACUAACCUCGUCGCGCGUCGGGCCUCCAAAUAAGUAAUGAAGGAGGACUUGACCGCUAACAGAAGGCGAAUCUGACCCUUUUGUAUCAUCUUGUCAUAUAGGUCCCCUAUAAAAAGAAAAUUUAAUUAAUAAUACGAAAGAAAAGAAUUGCUGUCAACUUAAGGUAGAAUAUUUUAAUAUUAACUAAUCACUACAUGUAUAGUCAAAUUGACGAACUUUGUAAUAGGUCGGGAAAUUAGAAAAUUUAUUGCAUCCUGCUCAACGUUGGGAAUAUUAUCUCUUCCAGGGUAGUUGCGAUGACGCUCAAUAAUUACCCCAGACUCCUCAACCGGCACAGGGACAUCAUCAAUCUCAACAGCUGGUAUUGCACUUUCUGACUGUCCAAGUUCAGCUUUAAUUUCCUAUAUUGAACCAAAUCACGUGCAAAAGUCAUAUUUUAUAUGAUAUAAGUUUAUUCACACUACACUUAAUCAAGUACAUCAUACCAUAAGGACCUCC
rnacentral:lncRNA from 1 species